ACACGGUAAGGAUUGACGGACUGAAGGCUCUUUCUCGAUUCCGUGGAAAGUGGUGCAUGGCCGUUUUGGUUGGUGGAUCGAUCCGUCUGGUUAAUUCCGUUAACGAACGAGACCUCGGCACUCCGAAUAGCGCGGCGGACGUCGCGGCCUCCGGGCCGUCUUCCGCACGAGCUUCUUAGAGGGACCGUCCCCCGCCGGGGAAGGAGGUGCGAGGCAACGACAGGUCUGUGAUGCCCUUAGAUGUUCUGGGCCGCACGCGCAUUACACUGACGCGUCCAACGGGUGACUCCCGACCCGAAGGGGCCGGGGAAUCCGCAAGGCGCGUCGUGAUGGGGAUUGAACGUUGCAAUUGUUGUUCACGAACGAGGAAUUCCUAGUAGGCGCGGGUCAUCAACCCGCGCCGAUUACGUCCCUGCC
rnacentral:rRNA from 1 species